UACGUAGGUGGCAAGCGUUGUCCGGAUUUACUGGGCGUAAAGGGCGUGCAGGCGGUUUGUUAAGUCUAGGGUGAAAGCUCCCGGCUCAACUGGGAGAGGUCCUUGGAUACUGGCAGACUUGAGGAGGGUAGAGGAGAGUGGAAUUCCCGGUGUAGUGGUGAUAUGCGUAGAUAUCGGGAGGAACACCAGUGGCGAAAGCGGCUCUCUGGGACGGUACUGACGCUGAGACGCGAAAGCGUGGGGAGCAAACAGG
rnacentral:rRNA from 1 species